rnacentral:rRNA from 1 species
CCUACGUGAGGCAGCAGUAGGGAAUCUUCCACAAUGGGCGAAAGCCUGAUGGAGCAACGCCGCGUGGGUGAAGAAGGUCUUCGGAUCGUAAAACCCUGUCGUUAGAGAAGAAAGUGCGUGAGAGUAACUGUUCACGUUUCGACGGUAUCUAACCAGAAAGCCACGGCUAACUACGUGCCAGCAGCCGCGGUAAUACGUAGGUGGCAAGCGUUAUCCGGAUUUAUUGGGCGUAAAGGGAACGCAGGCGGUCUUUUAAGUCUGAUGUGAAAGCCUUCGGCUUAACCGGAGUAGUGCAUUGGAAACUGGGAGACUUGAGUGCAGAAGAGGAGAGUGGAACUCCAUGUGUAGGGGUGAAAUGCGUAGAUAUAUGGAAGAACACCAGUGGCGAAAGCGGCUCUCUGGUCUGUAACUGACGCUGAGGUUCGAAAGCGUGGGUAGCAAACAGGAUUAGAUACCCGUGUAGUC